rnacentral:tRNA from 1 species
GGGCGGAUAGCUCAGUUGGCUAGAGCAUCGGCCUUACAAGCCGAGGGUCACAGGUUCGAGUCCUGUUCCGCCCACCA